rnacentral:rRNA from 1 species
CUGGCUCAGGAUGAACGCUGGCGGCGUGCUUAACACAUGCAAGUCGAACGGAGUUUAGAUGAAACCUAGUGAUUCUAAACUUAGUGGCGGACGGGUGAGUAACGCGUGGGUAACCUGCCUUAUACCGGGGGACAACAGUUAG